GCAGGCAGGUGAGGGAGGGAGAGGCAGGAAUGCUCUCAUAAUAAACUAUUCAUUUUUUACAGGCAUCUCCUGCAGACACAAAAAAGAGCAAGCAUCAGAGCAAAGGGCUAGUCAUGCAGGGAGGGAUUUUAAUCCCACAACGGGUUAAGAGCUGCUGACCAUCACAUCCUCUUCCCAUCCAGCCCCUCCUGCAUGGAUCUCUUCCUUGCACCAGGUCAUGCAGCAUGUCUUCCGCUGCUGUGAUGGGGGAAACUACACCCACUGCCAGGUGAUUAAAAACUGCAGAAAGCCCAUCCUGUGAUUUCUGAAUUACUCCUUCAUGCUCCCUCCCAAGAGGACAGACUGCUUCCCGGUGAAGAGAGAGACAGAAACUUGCUGACAGCAACUGGGGUUGUUGUUUCCAGUGCUGACCUGCCCAUCACAGUAUAAGGAAACCAGACCCGCAGUU
rnacentral:lncRNA from 14 species